UUUAUUUAGAGAGUUUGAUCCUGGCUCAGGAUGAACGCUGGCGGCGUGCUUAACACAUGCAAGUCGAACGAAGCACUU
rnacentral:rRNA from 1 species